AUGAAAUCAAAUAGAAAUAUGAAGCUGAGAAAAAGGAAGGAAUGUGUGCGGCUGUGUGAAGUAGAGUCGAGCUCAGCCAUUGGAAAGUGGAAUGAGGACCUUGCCUGCCUGUCAGAGAAGGUGCAAAAGAUGGUCCAGAAUGUUGAUUUCAUGCUACCUUUAAUGCUUAUUACUGAACUCCACUGCUGUGAAAUCAGAUUGUCAUGGUUAAGAGAUGGUCUCCUCAUCUUUCCAAAACCCAUAUCUGUAGACCCACAAGGACAACAGUGA
rnacentral:lncRNA from 1 species